UACGGAGGGGGCUAGCGUUGUUCGGAAUUACUGGGCGUAAAGCGCACGUAGGCGGCUUUGUAAGUUAGAGGUGAAAGCCCGGGGCUCAACUCCGGAAUUGCCUUUAAGACUGCAUCGCUCGAAUUGUGGAGAGGUAAGUGGAAUUCCGAGUGUAGAGGUGAAAGUGCGUAGAGAUUAGGAAGAACACCAGUGGCGAAGGCGACUCUCUGGACCGUAACUGACGCUGAGGCAUGAAAGCGUGGGGAGCAAACAGGG
rnacentral:rRNA from 1 species